AACGAACGCUGGCGGCAGGCCUAACACAUGCAAGUCGAGCGCGCCCUUCGGGGUGAGCGGCGGACGGGUGAGUAACGCGUGGGAACGUGCCCUUCUCUGCGGAAUAGCCUCGGGAAACUGAGAGUAAUACCGCAUACGCCCUUUGGGGGAAAGAUUUAUCGGAGAAGGAUCGGCCCGCGUUGGAUUAGGUAGUUGGUGGGGUAAUGGCCCACCAAGCCGACGAUCCAUAGCUGGUUGGAGAGGAUGAUCAGCCACACUGGGACUGAGACACGGCCCAGACUCCUACGGGAGGCAGCAGUGGGGAAUUUUAGACAAUGGGGGCAACCCUGAUCUAGCCAUGCCGCGUGAGUGAUGAAGGCCUUAGGGUUGUAAAGCUCUUUCAGCUGGGAAGAUAAUGACGGUACCAGCAGAAGAAGCCCCGGCUAACUCCGUG
rnacentral:rRNA from 1 species